GAUGAACGCUGGCGGCGUGCCUAAUACAUGCAAGUCGAGCGAAUGGAUUGAGAGCUUGCUCUUAUGAAGUUAGCGGCGGACGGGUGAGUAACACGUGGGUAACCUGCCCAUAAGACUGGGAUAACUCCGGGAAACCGGGGCUAAUACCGGAUAACAUUUUGAACCGCAUGGUUCGAACUUGAAAGGCGGCUUCGGCUGUCACUUAUGGAUGGACCCGCGUCGCAUUAGCUAGUUGGUGAGGUAACGGCUCACCAAGGCAACGAUGCGUAGCCGACCGGAGAGGGUGAUCGGCCACACUGGGACUGAGACACGGCCCAGACUCCUACGGGAGGCAGCAGUAGGGAAUCUUCCGCAAUGGACGAAAGUCUGACGGAGCAACGCCGCGUGAGUGAUGAAGGCUUUCGGGUCGUAAAACUCUGUUGUUAGGGAAGAACAAGUGCUAGUUGAAUAAGUUGGCACCUUGACGGUACCUAACCAGAAAGCCACGGCUAACUACGUGCCAGCCGCCGCAGUAA
rnacentral:rRNA from 1 species